rnacentral:tRNA from 1 species
UAAAGGAGAGUAUCGAACAAUCCCCAUUGGUCUAGGUGGCUAGGAUAUUCGGCUUUCACCCGGAAGGCCCGGG